rnacentral:rRNA from 1 species
GGAAUAUUGCUUAAUGGGCGAAAGCCUGAAGCAGCAACGCCGCGUGGACGAAGAAGGCCUUCGGGUUGUAAAGUUCUUUUAUAUGGGAUGAGGAAGGACAGUACCAUAUGAAUAAGUCUCGGCUAACUACGUGCCAGCAGCCGCGGUAAAACGUAGGAGACGAGCGUUAUCCGGAUUUACUGGGCGUAAAGAGCGUGUAGGAGGCAAUACAAGUUGGAUGUAAAAGCUCUCGGCUAAACUGAGAGAGGACGUUCAAGACUGUAGAGCUAGAGGAAGGCAGAGGUAGAUGGAACUCCGGGAGUAGUGGUGAAAUGCGUAGAUAUCCGGAAGAACACCAGAGGCGAAAGCGAUCUACUGGGCCUUAACAGACACUGAGACGCGAAAGCCAGGGUAGCAAAC